AUUUAUCAUUUCUUCUUCGUUAUGGAGAAUGACUAACGUUAGUUCUGAAAACGAACGAUUCUCCCUCUCAUAAUUUUACCCUAUUAAUUCAGGUCACUGAUACUCCACCUGAUGUGGUGUAAGUAGUCGAACCAGAUCAGAACGCCUUUGAAGACCACCUUCAGGCACGGACUGAGAAGGAUGUGGAGGUUUUUGACCAGGGUGUUGUGGAGGAUGUGGACUGUGGAGCAGACCUACCCAUCCAGCACAGCUAUGAUCAAAGCACAGCUCCAGCCCUUCAACCCUGCCCCGGACCGGGUCGAAGCCUGACUGCACAGAUGGUACCUCUGGACCUCAGGAGGAUACCAAUGUUCAUUUUGUUCAUUCAUACCUACCAGCGUUUUCCCCCUUGCUCCUGUCCUGUCUAUAGUGCU
rnacentral:lncRNA from 1 species